GAUGAACGCUGGCGGCGUGCCUAAUACAUGCAAGUCGAGCGAACAGACGAGGAGCUUGCUCCUCUGACGUUAGCGGCGGACGGGUGAGUAACACGUGGAUAACCUACCUAUAAGACUGGGAUAACUUCGGGAAACCGGAGCUAAUACCGGAUAAUAUAUUGAACCGCAUGGUUCAAUAGUGAAAGACGGUUUUGCUGUCACUUAUAGAUGGAUCCGCGCCGCAUUAGCUAGUUGGUAAGGUAACGGCUUACCAAGGCAACGAUGCGUAGCCGACCUGAGAGGGUGAUCGGCCACACUGGAACGGAGACACGGUCAAGACUCCUACGGGAGGCAGCAGUAGGGAAUCUUCCGCAAUGGGCGAAAGCCUGACGGAGCAACGCCGCGUGAGUGAUGAAGGUCUUCGGAUCGUAAAACUCUGUUAUUAGGGAAGAACAAAUGUGUAAGUAACUAUGCACGUCUUGACGGUACCUAAUCAGAAAGCCACGGCUAACUACGUG
rnacentral:rRNA from 1 species